rnacentral:rRNA from 1 species
GACGAACGCUGGCGGCGUGCUUAACACAUGCAAGUCGAACGGAAAGGCCCUGCUUUUGUGGGGUGCUCGAGUGGCGAACGGGUGAGUAACACGUGAGUAACCUGCCCUUGACUUUGGGAUAACUUCAGGAAACUGGGGCUAAUACCGGAUAGGAGCUCCUGCUGCAUGGUGGGUGUUGGAAAGUUUCGGCGGUUGGGGAUGGACUCGCGGCUUAUCAGCUUGUUGGUGGGGUAGUGGCUUACCAAGGCUUUGACGGGUAGCCGGCCUGGGAGGGUGACCGGCCACAUUGGGACUGAGAUACGGCCCAGACUCCUACGGGAGGCAGCAGUGGGGAAUAUUGCACAAUGGGCGGAAGCCUGAUGCAGCAACGCCGCGUGCGGGAUGACGGCCUUCGGGUUGUAAACCGCUUUCGCCUGUGACGAAGCGUGAGUGACGGUAAUGGGUAAAGAAGCACCGGCUAACUACGUG